CGUUCCCGGGCCUUGUACACACCGCCCGUCACACCAUGGGAGUGGGUUUUACCAGAAGUCGUUAGUCUAACCGUAAGGGGGGCGAUGACCACGGUAGGAUUCAUGACUGGGGUG
rnacentral:rRNA from 1 species